rnacentral:lncRNA from 1 species
UUUUUUUAUGCCCCACCUACAAUAGUAGAGGGGCAUUAUGUUUUCUGGUCUGUGCGUCCGUCCGUCCGUCCGUCUGUCCGUUCGUUCGUCCGUCCGUUCGUCCGUCCGUUCGUCCGUCCGUCUGUCCCGCUUCAGGUUAAAGUUUUUGAUGAAGGUAGUUUUUGAUGAAGUUUAAGUCCAAUCGACUUCAAACUUAGUACACAUGUCCCCUAUAAUAUGAUCUUUCUAAUUUUAAUGCCAAAUUAGAGUUUUUACCCCAAUUUCACGGUCCACUGAACAUGGAAAAUGAUAGUGCGAGUGGGGCAUUCGUGUACUGAGGACACAUUCUUGUUUUUUUAGAUUUUUUGUGUUUCCAUGUUCAUAAUGCCCCUUUACCACCCUCUUGAAAUUGGAAUACAACUUCAUGGGGGGAUCAAGUUCAAGUAACAGCAAGAUUCUUUCAUUCAAUGGGAGAUAACUCUGUAAAAUCUGUAAAUGAUUUUUUAUGCAGUUGAAAUUCAAAUCAUAAACCUUUGAAUUAUUUAUUUUGUGUUCCAUCUUUCAUAUUAAUUUCCCAAAGGAAGUAUAGUAUCAAUUUUCAAUUCUUUUCAGGUUCUAUGAUGAUUUUCAUGGUGUGGAAAUAAGACUUGGUGGUCUUAAAGAUCUAAUUAAUGUAACAUAGGUAGGUACCAGUAUGUUAUUCCUGUUUUGAAUGAAACUAGUAUUGUAAAAAUAUUUUUGAAAUGUUAUUUUCAUGUGGUCUGAAUGUUUAUAAGAGUUUGAUCAGAAAUCUCCUCUUUCAUCUAUCAGUACAAUAAUAUGUUUGAUGUAAUUACUUAAAAGUGUGUUGGGUUGCUGUCAACCAUAUGUUCUCAACAUCUAUUACACAUUUGUAGACUUUGUAUAUUUGAUAUACAUGUAAUAUGUCUGAUGUAAUAUGUCUGGAACUUAUACAUGUAUCUAUUGGUCCCAGAUUUUAUCAACAAUGGUUUUUUCAAACCAUUUUGAAUAACUAAGCAUUUUACAUUUUAGGUUAGCAUCACAGCUUGUCCAUAAGGAUUGAGGCUGAGAAUGACCAUUAGAUGGGACUUUUAUGGUAAGAAUAAAAACAAAGAUUUAUGAACUAGAGAAUGUUAUUGCCACAGUUUUUAUAGAUGUAGAUCUUACAUUUGAAUGUUUUCUUUAGUUAAUUGAAUAUAUACUCGAAGGGACAUAAAAAAUUUAGAAAAUCUUAUUUUUUUCGUUAUCUUAAAUUGUCACCAUGUAUUAGAAUAAAGAGGUGUGUUAUGAUUUCCAAUAAGAUAUUUAUCAAUGAGAGAACAAAUGUCAUGAAUGUAAACAAACUAAAGGUCAGCAUAUGGCCUUCAACGAUGAGUAAAACCUAUACUGUAAACCAUAAACUUCCCCAACAUCACCAAUUGUGAAAUAAUUCAAAAGAAAAACUUACCUCAAGGCCUGAUUUAUGUUUAAACAAUAAAGGAAAAAAAUUAUCUUGGACAUGGACAAAAAAAUGUGAAAAGAUUUUUGAUUUUCAACUUUAUUGAAUCUUAUUCAUUAUGGCUAGAUUUAUUUCAUACUUUGAAGAAGAAGUGAAACGGACAAAUUUAACUUAGAUAUAUACUUAUUAAAUUGUUAAAAUCAUAUAAUUUUUAAUUUCAUUUAUAUCAUUUUUAUGUCCCACUUAAGGAAGUUAGCUGCUCGGUUUCUAAAUGAAUAACUUUCCAUAAAACUAGUAUAUAUUGAUGGGUAUUAAUUGAGGAAUAAAAAAAGCAAAAAAAAAACAAACAUAGGGAUCAAUUUGCUUGUUUUCGAGAUAUUAGCCAUAAGAAAAUGUUCCAUAGCUUUAUCAUUGACCACUUAGAGUUCUCAAAAACUACUAAAAAACUAAAUAAAAUUUUAUAAAACUUUUUCAAAUGGCUUAAUACAACUAUACAUUUUUAAGGCAUUCAAAUGUAUAAAACCGGAGGAUUUGAAAAUCUGACAAAAAUUCCAAAACAUAACAAGCAAAUAUCCUUAAGGGCAUUCAUUGAUGUGGUCUCUAAACAGGGUGAAAAUUUAUGUCUAAGGGAGAUUCUUUAUAAUCAACCAGUUGAACUCCACAUUCUUGUAAUUUGAACAAUGCUUAGAAUAUGCACCUUUAUUUAUAGAAUAUUCACUUUUUUUUUAAUUAAAUGUAUACUAGAUGAAAUUGACUAUUAUUUAGAACUGUGUAAAAUAGAAUAAAAUGUAAACAGAGCUCUUGAUAACAGAUAUGUUAAGUGGGAGAAAUCAUUAGUCACUUUAAAUCACUUUGUGUAAAAAAAAAAAAAAAGGCCUAUAAAAAAAGAUUGUCAUUGAGACAAUGAGGAAAGCCACCUUGGCAGCCAAGAAAGCAGCUUUAAGGAAGAUGGUCAAAUAGAUGUUCAACCAUGUCUGUGGUUUAAUUGUGAAAAAUAUGUGAUUUAAUAAUUUUAAAAAUUCCACCAAAUAUGUUGUAAUAAUAUUAUUAUGUGCAUUUUAAUAAUCUGUUUCUUAAUAGUCCUUUUUAUGCCCCACCUACGAUAGUAGAGGGGCAUUAUGUAUUCUGGUCUGUGGCUCCGUUCGUGCCUUCGUUCAAUUGUUCGUUCAUCUGUCCGUUCAUCUGUCCGUUCGUUCGUCCUUUCGUUCCUCUGUGCGUCCGUUCAGGUUAAAGUUUUUGGUCAAGGUAGUUUUUGAUGAAGCUGAAGUCCUGUGAAUCAACUUGAAACUUAGAACACUUGUUGCUUAUGAUAUGAUCUUUCUAAUUUUAAAGCCAAAUUAGACAUUUGACCCCAAUUUUACGGUCCACUGAACAUAGAAAAUGAAAGAGCGAGUUUCAGGUUAAAGUUUUUGGUUAAGGUAGUUUUUAAUAAAAUUGAAGUCCAAACAACUUGAAACUUAGUAUAUAUGUUCUCUAUAGUAUAAUCUUUCUAAUUUUAAUGCCAAAUUAGAUUAUUACCCAAUUUCACGGUCCAUGUAACAUGGAAAAGGAUAGUGCAAGUGCGGCAUCCGUGUACUUUUGACACAUUCUUGUUUAUAAGAGUUUGAUUUCGCAGUGUAUUAAUCAUCCAUAACAUAUUUUUGCCUCUCACACAACAUUUGAGGGGGACAUAGAAAUACUCAUAAUGCAUCUAUAUGUCUGUGCAGUUUUGUAAUUGCUCACACAUGUACAGUUCUUGCCAGAUAUUUAUAAAACUUACAUCAUAGGUUUAUAGCAGCAAUGUCUAGGAAAUGUUCAAAAAUUAAUGCAUGUCAACUAGAUGUUUUAAAUUUUUGCCCUUUGGAAAAGUUAUUACAUGGAAAUUUCAUUGUUGGUGCUCUUUUGCGACAAUUCUUGCAAGAUUUUUAUUAAAUUUACAUCCGAUUUAAUUUAAUUUUUUGCAAUGUCUCAGAUGAGUUAGAAAUUCAGUAUUAAUGUAAUAUUUUUAGAGUUAUGCCCCUUGAAAAUAUUAAUUAUAUUAGAAUUUGCAUUGGAUUUGUUUUAAGUCUUCAUUACUUUAAGAUAUUUAUAAAAACAAACAACUUUUUUAUGCCCCACCUACGAUAGUAGAGGGGCAUUAUGUUUUCUGGUCUGUGCGUCCAUCCGUCCGUCCGUCCGUCUGUCCGUUCGUCCGUCCGUUCGUUCGUCCGUCCGUCUAUCCCGCUUCAGGUUAAAGUUUUUGGUCAAGGUAGUUUUUGAUGAAGUUUAAGUCCAAUCGACUUCAAACUUAGUACACAUGUCCCCUAUAAUAUGAUCUUUCUAAUUUUAAUGCCAAAUUAGAGUUUUUACCCCAAUUUCACGGUCCACUGAACAUGGAAAAUGAUAGUGCGAGUGGGGCAUUCGUGUACUGAGG